rnacentral:SRP_RNA from 1 species
GGCUGGGCCCUGUGCAUCAGAAUCCUGUGAACUCCGCCAGGUCCGGAAGGAAGCAACGGUAAGCGGGCUAGUCUGGGUGUCGCAGGAUCACCUGGCCCCC